rnacentral:rRNA from 1 species
GACGAACGCUGGCGGCGUGCUUAACACAUGCAAGUCGAACGGAAAGGCCCUGCUUUUGUGGGGUGCUCGAGUGGCGAACGGGUGAGUAACACGUGAGUAACCUGCCCUUGACUUUGGGAUAACUUCAGGAAACUGGGGCUAAUACCGGAUAGGAUCUCCUGCUGCAUGGGGGGGGUUGGAAAGUUUCGGCGGUUGGGGAUGGACUCGCGGCUUAUCAGCUGGUUGGUGGGGUAGUGGCUUACCACGGCUUUGACGGGUAGCCGGCCUGAGAGGGUGACCGGCCACAUUGGGACUGCGAUACGGACCAGACUCGUACGGGAGGCAGCAGUGGGGAGUAUUGCAGAAUGGGCGGACGCCUGAUGCAGCAACGCCGCGUGCGGGAUGACGGCUUUCGGGUUAUAAACCGAUUUCGCCUGUGACGAGGCGGGCGUGACGGUAAUGGGUAAAGAAGCACCGGCUAACUACGUG